rnacentral:rRNA from 1 species
GACGAACGCUGGCGGCGUGCUUAACACAUGCAAGUCGAACGGAAAGGCCCUGCUUGCAGGGUACUCGAGUGGCGAACGGGUGAGUAACACGUGGGUGAUCUGCCCUGCACUUCGGGAUAAGCCUGGGAAACUGGGUCUAAUACCGGAUAGGAGCCAUUUUUAGUGUGAUGGUUGGAAAGUUUUUUCGGUGUAGGAUGAGCUCGCGGCCUAUCAGCUUGUUGGUGGGGUAAUGGCCUACCAAGGCGGCGACGGGUAGCCGGCCUGAGAGGGUGGACGGUCACAUUGGGACUGAGAUACGGCCCAGACUCCUACGGGAGGCAGCAGGGGGGAAUAUUGCACAAUGGGCGCAAGCCUGAUGCAGCGACGCCGCGUGGGGGAUGACGGCCUUCGGGUUGUAAACUCCUUUCGCUAGGGACGAAGCUUUUUGUGACGGUACCUAGAUAAGAAGCACCGGCUAACUACGUG